AUUGAACGCUGGCGGCAUGCCUUACACAUGCAAGUCGAACGGCAGCACGGGUGCUUGCACCUGGUGGCGAGUGGCGAACGGGUGAGUAAUACAUCGGAACGUACCUUAUCGUGGGGGAUAACGCAGCGAAAGCUGUGCUAAUACCGCAUACGCCCUGAGGGGAAAGCGGGGGCUCGCAAGACCCCCGGCGAUUAGAGCGGCCGAUGACUGAUUAGCUUGUUGGUGGGGUAAAAGGCCACCAAGGCGACGAUCAGUAGCUGGUCUGAGAGGACAAUCAGCCACACUGGGACUGAGACACGGCCCAGACUCCUACGGGAGGCAGCAGUGGGGAAUUUUGGACAAUGGGGGCAACCCUGAUCCAGCAAUGCCGCGUGAGUGAAGAAGGCCUUCGGGUUGUAAAGCUCUUUUGUCAGGGAAGAAACACCGGCUCUAACACAGUCCGGGAAUGACGGUACCUGAAGAAUAAGCACCGGCUAACUACGUGCCAGCCGCCGCCGUAA
rnacentral:rRNA from 1 species